rnacentral:rRNA from 1 species
AACGAACGCUGGCGGCGUGCCUAACACAUGCAAGUCGUGCGAGAACGGGGGGGCAACCCCCCAAGUAAAGCGGCGCACGGGUGAGUAACACGUAGGUAACCUACCCUCGAGACCGGGAUAACCCGCCGAAAGGUGGGCUAAUACCGGAUAUGACCACGGGAGCCUCGGCUCCUGCGGUGAAAGGUGGCCUCUGCUUGCAAGCUACUGCUCGGGGAUGGGCCUGCGCGCCAUUAGCUAGUUGGCGGGGUAAUGGCCCACCAAGGCUAUGAUGGCUAGC